CUAACCAUGACAGACCUUAAUAAGCAUAAAUAUGAAUCUUUGUUAUUGUGUUUCCAAAUUCAACCCCGACAGCCAUAGGCAUGGCUAGUUUUGAAAUGUGUCAAGCAGAAGUUGGUCCAGUGAAAGAAGUUGGUCCAGCCUCACCCACCUCAUCUGUCUCCGAUCCUAGGACCAACAUGGCUACAACAAUGCUGCAAACAGCAAACCAAGUAAAGCAGUUCAACCCGACUGCAGGGUGUUCUGGCUCAUGUACUGCAGAAGACACAAAUUUUGCUUUUUGAGUGACUGGCUUAUGAAUGACACAGCUUCAGUGAGCUUUAGCGAAAGGGUCCCAAGGUGGACCACAAGAUCUGGCCUUAUCUGAUACAACUUUAGCGAAGAUGAUUAAUGCUGGACAAUAAUGAAGACAAAAUUGGAUCUCAUUUACACAUGGCCUCUUGUAGAAGAAUUCAAAGGUUUAUCUUAAUUUAUUACUAAGGAAUGUAAGAAUCAUUCAUUUAAUUGUUUAUUAAUUGAUACCAAAUCCACCUCCUAAUGUAACCCAGCACCACAGCCAUCUUUCAGAGAAAACCUACUGUGUGAAAUAAUAGGAUAUUGUUUCCUGCUUGUUUUGUACAAGGGAACUAAGUUCUUACUCAAGGUUUGUUGUUCUGCAUGAAGCUGCAGUGGCCUAGUGUAUAGUGCCCUGUCCUGGAAGAAACAGACCUGAGUUCUGCGCACACAUCUGUCACUAACUUGCUAUGUGAACUUGGGCAGAUUCCUGUAUUUUGGUUUCCCCAUCCGUACAAUGGAUGUAUUGCUGCUUGCUUGGAGGAUGGAGUGUACAUUGCAGGUGGGAAAAGUUUGGAGAAGGACAUAGAAA
rnacentral:lncRNA from 1 species